CUAGUUUUUAGUAGGGUUGUUCACAAAAAUGGAUCAAUAUCAAAACUGUCUGACGACAAUUACCUGUUAGCCAUGCAUCGUUGAACCGAUUCCGUUUUCUUCACUUACAACCAAGGAGUCAAUCUUAACACACUGGUCAACGCACGUUAUUUGAUUUGGUAAAAUGAGUGUUAGAAAAAGCUAUUGUAAAGUCUAUUUAGUCAAGUAACAAGGAAUCAAGCUAAAUAGAGUAUUCUACCGAAUACCUUCGGCUGUUGCUAGAUCUUAUGGUAUUCUCCAAAAAUAUAUAGGAACAAAUUGUGGCAAUAGGAAAAAACAUAACUCACGUAUGUACAUGUAAUGUGCAAGGACCCUCUAUACAUCGUCACACCUGAUUG